rnacentral:rRNA from 1 species
AUUAAACGCUGGCGGCAUGCCUUACACAUGCAAGUCGAAACGGGCAGCACGGGGGCAACCCUGGUGGCGAGUGGCGAACGGGUGAGUAAAGCAUCGGAACGUGCCCUGGAGUGGGGGGAUAACGUAGCGAAAGUUACGCUAAUACCGCAUAUUCUGUGAGCAGGAAAGCAGGGGGAUCGCAAGACCUUGCGCUCUGGGAGCGGCCGAUGUCGGGAUUAGCUAGUUGGUGGGGUAAAGGCCUACCAAGGCGACGAUCCGUAGCGGGUCUGAGAGGAUGAUCCGCCACACUGGGACUGAGACACGGCCCAGACUCCUACGGGAGGCAGCAGUGGGGAAUUUUGGACAAUGGGCGCAAGCCUGAUCCAGCCAUGCCGCGUGAG